AUUGAACGCUGGCGGCAUGCCUUACACAUGCAAGUCGAACGGCAGCACGGGGGCAACCCUGGUGGCGAGUGGCGGACGGGUGAGUAAUGCAUCGGAACGUGUCCUGUCGUGGGGGAUAACCAGUCGAAAGACUGGCUAAUACCGCAUGAGAUCGAGAGAUGAAAGCGGGGGACCGCAAGGCCUCGCGCGAUAGGAGCGGCCGAUGCCGGAUUAGCUAGUUGGCGGGGUAAAAGCCCACCAAGGCUACGAUCCGUAGCUGGUUUGAGAGGACGACCAGCCACACUGGGACUGAGACACGGCCCAGACUCCUACGGGAGGCAGCAGUGGGGAAUUUUGGACAAUGGGCGCAAGCCUGAUCCAGCAAUGCCGCGUGUGUGAAGAAGGCCUUCGGGUUGUAAAGCACUUUCGGACGGAACGAAAUCGCGCGGGCGAAUAUCCCGCGUGGAUGACGGUACCGUAAGAAGAAGCACCGGCUAACUACGUGCCAGCAGCCGCGGUAAUACGUAGGGUGCGAGCGUUAAUCGGAAUUACUGGGCGUAAAGGGUGCGCAGGCGGCUUCGCAUGUCAGAUGUGAAAUCCCCGAGCUUAACUUGGGAAUUGCAUUUGAAACU
rnacentral:rRNA from 1 species